rfam:Gossypium arboreum cultivar AKA8401 contig_26291_3, whole genome shotgun sequence.
AACCCAUGAUGAGGGCACCUUCGCAAAAGGUCCUUGUAUCUCUCCCAUGAAUCAUAGAGUGUUUCUAAAUACAUCUGCAUAAAAGAGGAGAUACCAUUACGUAAUUU